rnacentral:lncRNA from 1 species
CUUGCCUCCUCCUGACAUGGAUGAGCUUUUAGACGUUGGCCUCACUGUGUGAGAAGCCCUGGGCAGCCACAGGUGACCCGUGAUGUUUCUUUGUCUGUGGAAAGGCACCCUAACACAGCAGAGCAGGGGCAGAGGCAGAGAGAAUGACUGAGAUUUAUCUGGACUGUCUUGAAUUUUAUGAAAUAGCAACUAUACAUCAUUCGCAAAAUAAUGGGAACAUUUCUUGACUUCAAUCUUGUGCAG